GACGACGCUGGCGGCGUGCCUAACACAUGCAAGUCGAACGAGUGGCGGACGGGUGAGUAAUGUAUGGGAAACUGCCUGAUGGAGGGGGAUAACUACUGGAAACGGUGGCUAAUACCGCAUACCAUCGGAUGUGCCCAUAUGGGAUUAGCUAGUAGGUGGGGUAAAGGCUCACCUAGGCGACGAUCCCUAGCUGGUCUGAGAGGAUGAUCAGCCACACUGGGACUGAGACACGGCCCAGACUCCUACGGGAGGCAGCAGUGGGGAAUAUUGCACAAUGGGCGCAAGCCUGAUGCAGCCAUGCCGCGUGUAUGAAGAAGGCCUUAGGGUUGUAAAGUACUUUCAGCGGGGAGGCGUUACCCGCAGAAGAAGCACCGGCUAACUCCGUGCCAGCAGCCGCGGUAAUUC
rnacentral:rRNA from 1 species